GUGAAUCAUCGAAUUUUUGAACGCAAAUUGCACUCUCUGGCAUUCCGGAGAGUAUGCCUGUUUGAGGGUCAGAUUAAAUAAAAAUCGAGGUGUUGCUGUUUUGUGACCCAUCGGAAUUGGGUUAUCUUUAACCUUUUAAAAAGUUAAAGUGACUUAAAAUUGAUACUUUGUGCAUAUAAGACGUACAUAAAAUUAUUUUUUUAUCCGUCCGGAGUUGCAAAUUUUUUAUUGGGUUUGAUAAUGUUGUUUGUGGCAUCGUACCUAUA
rnacentral:misc_RNA from 1 species